rnacentral:lncRNA from 1 species
UUUUUUUUUUUUUUUUUUUGUUGUGAAUACUUUGUUUUCUAAGAGCAUGAGAGUCGUUGUAUGAGUCAAAGUAAUAUAUUUUUAGGUGAUGUCUGGUAUGUAGAUUGGAUUAUUGUGUUGAAUUUAAUUAGAUACGAGGGAAUAAUCUUUUGUUUUGCACUGUCUUCCUAUGUAUUGUUUUUGUAUAUGACUAAACUUGAUUAAUUGAAUUAACCUAGAAAAAAAAAAUCAAUUGCACCACCAUUAAUUUAAUAAUAAUUGCUUAUUUAAAAUUAUCUUAUGUAUUAUUGUAAAUUAAUAAAUAAAACUUAUAUUUAUAUUUGAUGCAUGACCUGUUAGUUACAAUUUUAUCAAAAGAGAUGACAUUUCAUUACGUUAAAUGGAAUGUGUAUGACAUGUACCUUAUAUAUUCAUGAUAUUAAUGACAUGUCAUAGAUUGUUCACUCCGGGGUAAAAUUUUUAUCAGUCGUCAAUUGUGAAUUCAUCCUAGAAAUGACAUUUUGAAAAUUUACAGAAAUUGUGUGAUAUAUAUUUGUAUGGUGUUAGCUCCUAGGAGACUUUGUUAUAAAACUUUGAAAUAAUUUUUUUAUUUUAUUUUAUAUUUCGUGUAGAUGAUAUGUCAGACAUCCUUAAAUGAUCUGUUUGUUAUGUCGUUUAUACUUGCAGCACAUAGAGGACAUGUCAUGCUGGUAAUUGACUAAUUUUUUAAAUAAAAUUAAUUUGUUCAAUUAAGAAAUAACUUAAUAUCUAAAAUUUAAUUCAAAUUAAUAAUAUCAUAUGAAUAACAUGCAGUCAAUGCGACUAAUAGGUAGCAUUUGUUUUUUUUUUCCUUGAAAAUCUAAAUAAGUCUAAAUUUGACUGAAGUUUGAAUGUUUAAAUAUAAAUGUUUGAAUAACAUAUUUUUUUAAAUAUAUAAAUAUAAGUGGUAUCUUAUUUGUUUUUAACAUAAAACAUAUCUUAUAAUUGCUAUUUGAUAUUUAUGUCCUUAUAAAUCAAGACAAAUAAAGGUAUUAGAUCUUAUAUAGUUUUAGAAAAUAAGAAUAUUUAAUAGAGAUAUUUUUUGAAUUUAAUAUUUACUCCCCAUUUAGAACUUUUUCUAUUCGGAUAAAAGUCAUAAAAAAUUAUUUUUUCUAUUUAAAUGUAAAUGUUUGAAAUCUAGAUAUAAGUUACAAAAAUACAAACAAGCGGGAUUUAAAAAAAAAACUGAAAUCAAUAAAAUUUCAGACUUUAACAAUGUUCGUUUGAAGCAUGCAUAAAUAACCAUAAAUCCAACAUAAUUGAUUAUACAAUGACAUUUAGCUUUUAUGCACGUCUUUCUGAUUUCUCUAAAAAUUUCCUUGAUUUUAGCUUAGCAAACAAAAAUCCAGAGUUAAGUGUAAAUUAAUUAACUUACAUUCGUAAGUGUAGGUGUGAACUUACACAUAUAUUGAUAGCAUUCAACAAUUGUAUAGAAAGUAAUAACUUUAUUGGUAGACUAUUUUAUGCAAUAUUUGCUUCAUAAAUUCGUUUUGGAUUUUCCUGAGUCUGCUUGAAUGAUGAUGUUAUGUCUUUCACCAAACCAACCCGGAAUGGUGGCUGGAUGAGGAGAACGUAAUGAUCUGAUUGAGGUUUACUUGCAAAACAACGCGGGAAGACAUUAAUUAAGGUCAAGUCCUGGUAGCUCUGGUGCGGAUAUCAAAGGUCUUGCUCACAUUAUACUUGAAUCGGCAUCAGCAUACAGUAAUGAUGCGUAUGAUCAAAUAAAGAAAAAGAUUCUUAAUGCGACCACAAGUAAAGUUUUCAAAAGUUUUCUUAAUGUUUGCUUUUAAGUAUACUAUGAGCAGAAGAUCUUUGAUGCUUUGGAGUUACUGCUCUUUCUCCAUUGAAUGUUUAUCACAGUGGUAGGCGUAUUAUUAUAAUUAAAUGAAGCAUACAUGUGGCUAAGAGCGGAGAUAACAUAUUGAUUGACUGGGGGUUUAUUUAACGGUAAUAUAAAAAACUUUAAAAAUAAUAAAAAUAUAAAUUUAAAAGAUUUAUAAUACUUCAAAAUAUAUUUACAAUUAUUCUUUACAAGUUUUCAUAUAUUGAUAUAUUGCAUUAUAACUUCAUUAUCAAUAUUAUUAAAAAAAAAAUUCAAUGUAAACAACCAAAAUAAAAGAUCUUUAAGUAUUUUUUAUGGGUCUUAGACUAGUGGUGGAAUUAGAAAAGGUAAGAUUAAUAAAAAAAAUUAUUAAUGAGUUUGUGGGCCGUUUAAAAAUUAAAUUAAUAUUAAUAUUUAUGGGCUUGAUUUUAGUUUGCAAAGCUCAUCUCUUUUUAUUUGAAUUUAAAAAUGAGUUAGACUAUUGGCAUUCCUCUAUAAUUCUUUUAAAAUCCCUUUUUUAAUUAUACUAAACCGAAUGCCAAAAUUACCCUUAUUUCUAAAUAAACACAUUAAUUUGUGAAUCUUUUAAUUUUCUUUUUUUUAUACUUCGCUCCUCACAAUAUUUUUAUCGGUGAUAAAAUCAAUGAAUCAAAUAAAUUAUCUCUAAGAUUAUGAUGUAAAAAGUUUUAGUAUAAGCCUAAAAAAAAGUCAGAUAAUUUUAUCAUAAUGUGUUUUAUUUAUUAUUAAUAGAUUAUCUUAUUAAUUGAAGAAAAAUUUAUAGAGAAUUUGAGGAAAAAAAAUUACAUGUGUGAGUGUGAUAGAAGAGAAAAUACAAGAUUUUUUUUUUUAAAUAGAGAGUUUGAAUUGAGAUAAAAUAGAUGUGAGAUAUAUUAGAAUAUUUGUCCUAAAAUGUAAUUAUAAUAAAAGAAAGGUUUUAAAAGAAUUAUGGAGGGGUGCCAAUAGUCAAACUCUUUAAAAAUUUAGAGCGUGAGAAUUUAAAUAUAACUAUGUAUUGCGGGCUUGACUAUAAAUUUGUGGGGAUUUGAGAAAAUUUUAUUGAGAAUUUUACACAAACUAAAUUAAGUCCCCACUAGUCCUAUAGUAAAUCCGCCCCCGGAUGUGGCAAGCCCUGAAUGAGAAAGAAGCAGUGCUCCAAGAGCACCCAACAUAACUAAACACGCAUUUUAACUAUUCCAAUUUAUUUACUCCUGUUAGUGUUAAUAUAAUUUCUCAGCAGUGAGGACAUAUACGAAUAGUGACAGAGCCGCCCGGUGUUAAGACGAGCAUUUUUAAAGCAAAAUGCAGGCAAGGCCUUUGACGUCUGCGCAAGGGCUACGGGGAGAUGGCUCGUAAAUGUGCUUUACAUAUAGAUAUAGAUUUUUGGUGUGAUCACAAAUAAUUUCCAACAAUUUCUUUUAAUUGGGCAUUGGUGUGAUAAAAAAAUAUAAUACUAUAAAAAGAAUCAAUAACGUCAAACAUCUCAAAAUUUUAUGACGAGGGAAAUUUUAAAUUUACUAAAUUGAAAUUAUAUAGUAUUUAAAUGGCAAAAAAAAUCUCAUCGAGUGGGACUUAUAGGUUAUAGCUAAGCUAAAUGAGGAAACAAAAUACAAAAAGAAUCGAUUAAGUUAAAGUCGUAUGAUAUUUCUUUCGACUGCCAAAUUUCUUUCUUGCAAUUUGCAAAGUCAACAACCAAUCAUGCUGCAUCGGGCUACUGAAGGCCCAAAAUUUUUGGCCUCAUGCCUUUUCUUUUUUUUCACGUUGAUAUUAUAAUUAGAUUAUAUCUCAUAUUAUAUAAAACUACUAUUAAUAUUUAUAAAUUAAAUUAUUAUUGAGACUGAUUUACAUUAAAUCUUAUGAAAUAUUAUCUAAAUUUUUUACUCUUUCUAAUAUUUAAAGAAUGUCUACUCCACUUAUAUUUAAUAAAGGAGAAGAUCAUGUUUACUCAAUUAUUUAAUAAUUAAGAAAAGAUUAAAAUUCCCUAUAAUACUAUUAUGGAGAUCGAAUAGCUGCUCUCAUAGUGAUCUAACAUUAAACUCAGCCAAGUGUAGUAGAGCUCUUACACUUGUAAUAUUGAGAGUAAAUGUUCAAGCUUCUAUAAAAAUAUUAUAGAGGUUAGUUUCAGUCAUUUCUCAAUUAUCAAAAAUUGAAUAGAGACAGUUUCUCACUCACAAAACGUUAUGAGAAAGUUUCAAUUGUAUAAUUUAAUUAUAAAUAUCAAUUGUAAUAUUUGAAGUAAUAAUAGUAACGUCCUGUAUAAUAAUAUUAAAAGAAAAAAAGGUUAAACUCUGGCUCUAGGGUCCAGGCUAUUUUUUGGAAGGGGUAAUUUUGAAAUUUUAGCAACAAAGUGGCCGGAGAACAUUGUAAUUAGCAGAUAUUAUGAGGACUGAAUGUAAAUAGAGAAUUUGUAUCGGUUCUAUAUUAAUUCGUUUUGCAUCCCACAACGAGGGGACGAAAGAGAGAGGCGGGGAGAGAGAGAGAACGUGAGAACUUUCUACGUCGCAAGGGGAAAAAAAAUAAAAAUAAAAAUCAACAAAGAACAGCUAGCUGUUUCUAUUUUCGCCUCCACAAAACUCUCCAUGCAUUUCGCUUAACACACUUUGUUCUUCUUCUUCACUGUAAGAUUUCUCUUUAAUAUGACCUUUACUUUGACUGCUUAUUAUUUCAAUGCGGUUACAGGAAAAAUAUACAUAUGUUAAUCGUGGCGGGAACCAAUUUUUGGACACUAAUGUCGGUAACUUUGAUUUAAUUUGUUGAAUGCAAUUGAAGGAUCCUAUAGCGUUCAAUGUUCAUUUCUUUGUUGUACGUAUGUAGCAUUGCUGGUGGACUGACUCGUCAUUGAUUGCUUGUUCAUGUGACGAUUUCAAUUUCGUGGGUCCUGCGAUCCCCAAAAACAGAACACUGUUGGGUUUCUUUUAUUUUAUUUCGAAGUAUUCUGUUUGGUUAAUCUGAAAGAAAGAAGUGAAAUAGCUAAAGAGCUUUGAUUCUUCUUUUUUUUUUUAAUAUUUUUUGUAUUCUGAACCGACAGAAGUUCACUUCCUUCGCCGUCAGUAAGAAUCUAUUCGGAGCCGAUUAGAGUUCUGUUCUGAUCUGAUCUUUUUAAAAAUUUUAAAGAUUUAAUGUUAGUAUAUAAUUAAAAUUUAAUUAUUUUUAUUUUUUAAUUUAUUAACCUCCAUAAGAGUAUCUUGAUCCAGAGAAUUCAUAUGAAAAUUUACUUGUAGCUUUAAUUUAAAGUUAUUUUAUAUUACUCAUCUUGACAAAAUACGGUAAGCUUAUUAAUAAUGCCAUUUGCGUCAAAAAAAUAGCACAAAAUUUAGUAUAGAAAGAAACAAGAGGCAAUAAAUAAAUAAAUAGUCUAGUAGUGAAUUUUUUUUUUUAAAUUUAUAAUUAAUCUUUUUCCCCACUUUUAGUGAUGGUGUAUUGUUUUUUUUGUAUAUUACUUUUGUGUGAAUAAUGAUGUAUGUACUAAAAUUAAUAUUAAAUUUAGUAACAAAAGAAACAAAUGUAAGAUAAAUUUCUCUUAAUCCUAUAAUUAAGAUGUUUUAUUCUUUAAAUUACUUUUUUUAUUUAUAUCAUUAUUAUUUUUGUCCACAUAUUAAUCUUAUGAUCGGUAGAGAAUUUUGAAAUUGUCCAAACUACAGUGGUGAUAAGAAGUUUCAUACUAUCGCUUUUAUAUUACAAGGCAUUUAGCUUCACAUCAAAGAGAGAAUGAUGUAAAAUAGUUGUAGCUUGUCUUUAUUCAAGAAAAGUUCAUGUGUUUCCGAUUCCAUAAGUGAAUGGUUGGUAAUCAUAUAUCAUACUUGUUUUGUUUUUCCAUAGCAGACUUUUAUUUUUCCGUUUGUGGUGAUAAGUGCUCUAUUAAUAAUGGACUCAAGGUCGACUGAGGAUAAUAAUUCAAUAAAUAAACAGAUAAAUAAAUAAAUAAAUUCAGGUCUUGAGGUCAACUGUGCAAAAAUUUAAGUCUUAUCUAUUACUUAAUUACCUUGAAUUUUCUUCCUGAGAAGUGAUAUAACUCUUCCUUUUACACCAUUCCACCAGAAAUGGGUUUCCAGUUUUCCUUGCCAGCACUGCCUUUAAUUUCUCUUCUGUGUUUCCUAUCAGUACUAGUUGUUGACAAGAUUCAACCAUCUUGAACUCGUUCUUUGACUUGAGCCCAUUAGCUUUUUCCCAAAAAAAAAAUUAUUUUGUUUAUUUAUUUAUUUAUUUUUACAGAUCCAUGCUACUGUAGGUUGUGCGCUCUUGUAAUUUUGUUUAUGAGUACGUCUUUUGACACCCCUAAAAAUUCUUCAUGACACCUCUUUCAAUAUAAAUUAUCUAAAUAAUCGAAGAUAAUUUCUUAAUGAUAAUUUAAUUAUACAAUUUAAUAAACUAUUCAUAUUAACAAAUUUUUUACACUCGUUUCGUUUCAUAAUUUGUAUUUAUAUUUAUAUUUUUAAUUGAAAAACAUUUUUAUAUAAAAAAAAUUAUAAGAGUUUAGAGUUAUUGAGAUAGAAGCUAUAUAAUGAGAAAUAUUAAUUAAAGAUUUUGGGAAUUUACAUAUUUUAUAAGAUAAAAAUUAACAAGAAAUAAUUUUUUAAUUGUGAAAUUUUAUAAGAAGAUGUUGAAUUUUAAUAUAGUUUGUCUUUUAUAAAUUAAACUAGGAGUAUUUGAACUUUUAAGAAAUCAAAUGUAAAAGGGGUGUUAUAAGGAGUUUGGAGGGGUGUUAACAUGUCCACUCUUUGUUUAUAAAACUGAAUGAUAUGGGCCAGCGAACCACAGCCACAGGCUGUGAGAGACUCAGAGUGUGACGUGCACGUUCAAAUUAGCUCCAUGCAUAAGUCUGCGCAUCAAACAUUCUGCCGGACCUCCAGCUAUCUUAGCAUCCGAGAUCUAUGGCUUGAUGCCUCGCACUGAUCAUGAUUUACUCACCGUACUGUAUCAGGACCAAGCUAGUUAAUGGGGUAUAUAAUGUUGGAAAAUUAAGACGGAAAACAGCAGAAGUUUGGAUGGAAAAAUUGGACUGAAAAAAAAAAAAGAGUCAAAGCGUAUGAUAGCAUUGUCUUUAAGAAGGACUAACGAAGGCAGUUUGAUCCCCCCUCCGUGAGUUGUCAGUUAAUAAAUCCUCAGAACAGACUCCUCUCUUGGGCUUGACUUUGUGGGCGUGAGUCUUCUUUUUAUGGGCUUGUUACCAUACCAUAUUUGGUUUCUAUAUAUAAACCAACUUAUGUAAUUAAGGGAUUUAUUGGUAUUUUGAAAUAACCAACUCAAUCUCUAACGUAUAAUUUAUACUUUAAUUAUGUAUAACCAUUAAUGUAGUGAAUGAUAUGAAUGUAAAGUGGCAUAUUAUGUGAAAUACAAAUUUUGUAUAUCAACUUUAUAAAUUUCGCAUCACUCAUCCCUCUAAUGUCCUUCCUGAAUGAUUGCAUUAAAAAAAUAAUUAAUUAAUUUAUUUCAAUUAUUUUACAAGCUUUUUUUGUGUUGGGGGGGGGGGGGUGCUGGGCUUUUUAAGGAAAGAACAACAAAAGCACAGAAAUUGACUGAAAAAUUAGUGUAAAUGAGUUAAUGAAAGCUAUUGUGAAGGAAAGUAAUAAUUAGGGCAUUAGGCCCUUUGAUAUCUUUCUCAAAAAUGAAAAAAAAUAAUGGCCACACUUAAGAUUUUAUUUUUCUUAUUGUGUGUGCUGGCUGGCGCACACACACUCAUCUCCAGAAACACUUUUCAAUUAUUGCAGCUGCAGCUAGCAGCACUGAAGUUAAUUCUUGCCUGAUGAUAGAAGCAAUGCCAAACAUGUUAAAACGAACACAACAAAUUCAUACCACUUAAUUUGGCUUUGGGGAAAAUGGAGAAAUUUAAUUAAAUUACAAAGUAAUUAUAACCCUUGCAAGUCGGUCUUCUCGAGGAGCAAUUGAUCAGCAAGCGCUUAACUAUACUUUUAGUUUAGAUGGUCAAAUUUUUUAACAGUAAUGUAUGAGAUUUGAGGGUCUAAAUCCGGCCAGUUCAAAGAGUAGCAAAUUUAACAUCCCGCUGCGUUCAGGGGGAAAAAAAGAGAAAAAAAGAAAGAAAGAAGCUAUUUUUGCACGCUGUCGGGAAAAUUAGGUUCCAUAUAUUGUCAUUCAUCAUACACAAAAAAUAGAUUGAUGACAAAUGGUAUUGGUUUGUUUACAUUUAACUAGCUAGUUUUUCACUUUCCUUACAAUAAGUUCAAGCAUAUAAUUCAGUACACAACAAAUUAAGCUCCGGAAAGAGAAGUCAUGACAGAGAAAUAAGUUAUAAGUUAUAUACCAAAUUAACAAGAGUGAAACGACAAGAUGAUAGGAAGAUGAUGGUGGUGAUGGCGGUGACUAUUGGAUUCUCUUUCAAUCCGCCACUGAAGAUGAAGAAAAUCGUCAACACUACAAGGUAACCUCAAAGGACCAUCCGUAUUGUAACCGUAGACCUCUCGAGCUUUCUCCAACAGUUGCCCAAACAGGGGAUGAUAAAGAUGAGAUAUCGGAAUCACAAACUUUCGGGACCCGCCGUCUUCCUCUUCUAAGCCCACCUGAACUGCAAGCCACCCUUUCUUUACCUUCAUCGUCUUCUUGUCUUCUUGCAUCACGUUAUUAUUUAAAACCGAGAAGCGAAGAAAGAAACUAGAGAGACCUUGGAAUUUAUUUCUGUGAGUAGAAAAGAGCUUGGGGUGUUAAUUAUUUAUAUGUGGAGUGGGGGGGGAAGAGAGCGUGACAAUUUUGGCUUUUAAAUUGAGUAAGUAAUUUUGGCACAUCUCUUAGUUAAAGUUAAUAGUUACGUUGACACAGUUCGUACUGUAUACGGAAUCCGUAUCAUAUCUAGGCUCUUUUUGUGCCGUCCUUACAAGGUUACAAGGGAUAAAAUAAAAGAACUAACAAUAUUCGCUCUUGGUUUGUGCUAAAGGUCAAUACGUACGAUCACAAAUUUCUUUGUUAUCGCUUGUUAUAAAUGUUUUGUCACACUUGUAAAUUUGACAAAACUUCAUAGAUGAAACAAAUUACUAGCGUCCACUUAAUUUAUAUUUAUCAAUUAAAAACGCUGAGAAGAAUUUCUCACAUUGCAAAUAGUUCUUGAGCUAAAAAUAUUAGCUUGAGACAUACAACUUAAAAAUUGAGUCUAAAUCUACACAAUGUAUAUAUAUAUAAAGUCGAGACUAUAAGAGGUGAUGUGGCAUCACCAUUUCUCAUUUUUAUAUAUUUUUUAUUAUUUAAUAAAUAGAUAAAUUUUCUUUUAAAUUUGACUUUUUAUCUUCUCAUAAUUAAUUUGAUUCUUAUUACAUAAUAAUAAUUAUGUAAAGAUUUUAAUGAGGCAUAUUCUUUGUAAUGAACAUCCAAGGGAAAGUGUUAUAAAUUUAUUAAAAUAAAUGUGGAUAUUUAUAAUAUAUAUCUUUUAAUCUCCCCACUAUCUCCCAUUAGCAACCUUUAGUUUCCCUAUAACUCCCACGAUCUCACAAUGAAUUAUGAUCCAUAAUUUUUUAUUAAUUUCAUGGAGUGAUUAUGUAAUUAUAAAAGCAGAGUUCAUCUUUUUAUUUUGUACACACACAAUUGGAAUGAAUAAAAUCACUCUAUAAUAUAUUCUCUCAUUUUAUUCUUUAUCUUGCAUUGCUUCUUUAUUUGUGUUGUUGGGUAAUAAUUUUUUUUUUAUUUAAGCCACCCGGUUUCCGACGACCGCAUUGGAUACUUCUACUGCAUUCAACAUUUCUAACUUUUAUUGGUUGAUAUACAUGUGAAUGAUAACACAAUCCUUUGAGGUAUUUUUUUAAUUAUUAAUGUUUGUUAAUCUUUAAGUGUAUAUUAGAAAUUAUUGAUCCUUAUGUUUUAACAUGUUUAUGUUAUUUUUCCAUAAUAUUACAGAUGUUGUUGGAAGUUUAUGUGGUGUGGGUGAUAUUGAAAUAGUUGGAGCUGAUUGGAAAAAAAGAGAUAUAAAAGUUUUAAAAGAUUAGCAAGUUGAAUAUAAUUUGGAACUUAUCAACAACUAUAAAAGGUAUAAGGUUUGUACACUUAACUAUACACAUUAAUAUAUAUAUAUAUAUAUUUAAAGUUAACAAACAAAUAAUUAACUUUCAUAAAUAACAUUAAUUUUAUAAGGUUGCCUCAUCUUAAAAAAAAUUAAUUCAUAUUUUUUUAUUAGUUUCAUCAAGUGCAAAGUAAAAAAAAAUGAUAAUACUAA